GUAUUCCUAGCUAUGCCAGUUGUUUUGUUGUUUUAGCCUAUUCCCCCGGGCUCCAUAGUCCUUUUCAAAUUGUUACUCUCCAAUACGAGGCACACUAUGUAGCAGAUUUGAAAAUGAGAUCAGAGGAAGAGGAUCCUGUGUGAUCAUCUAGUCACAGAGCUUCACAGCGUCUUUCAGCGCCAGCUCUCGGAUCUUCACUGCUUCCGAAAGUAAGAAAGUAACAGGUCUGUGUUCAUCUCGCCUGCUACAAUGUACCUCUCGGGGAUUGAGAAAGACAGCCGGCAUCUCCAGUUCAAAGGACUUCAGAGACAGAGGCAGGAGGAUUGCCUGGAGCUUGCUGGCUAGAGAGCAUAGCCUACUCAGUGAGAUCUAGACCAAUAAAGAGACUCCGCCCUGCCUCUAAACAACAGGACAUAUCGACACCUGAGGUUGGCCUCAGUUUCCUGCCCAUGCUGUGCACACCAAUUCCUGCCUUUUGGUGAAGGGAUGGAGGUAUUGGGGGGGGGUGUGCUCAGAUCUGAGCCACCUAUUCCUUCUGCUCUGUGUAAAUACGCCUGCUAAGAGUAAAGACCUUAAACUCUAACAGGCUCCCCGAUCUCCGAACGCCCCCGACCUAAGCACAGCUGACUCCACAACGGAAGUUCCAAAUGAAAACAAAGACCUAAUCCAUCAAAGCCCACGUCCCAGGGAACGCCGCUAAAUCCACGGACCAGGCCUUUUAACUUCUGGGGUUCUGCUUCUGGCUGUUCUUGUUAACAGAAGUAUGUCAACACAGAAUAUUGUUUCUGUGCUUAAAGCUCAUCUUGAGAAAGGCUUGGGGCUACACUGAGAUCCCAAACACCCAGUUCUGCUGGCCAGUUAAUAAAGGCUUUCUAUUGGCUUAGACCUUUGUCCAAAUGAUCUUCUCUACGGUGGGUGUCCCACAACAAAACUUGGUCCGAAAUCCAUACGUUUGAUAAGGGUUCCUAACACGUUGAAGUGGUACUUCUUUACUGUGUUCUGUAUGUAAACACCUCCCUUUCCCCACUUUAUUAUUUCUUUUCCCUUGAUGCAGUGAGGCUGAGUCAUUUCCAACCCACCUUAAAUAAACUCCAAAGAUAUAUUUUCAGCCUUAGAAAUACAUGAAUUGACUCAAAAACCGUAUUCAUGAAAAAAAUUGCCUUAUUUGGUUCAUCUCUCUUUAACAUUUUUUUUCAUAGCAAGGGAAGUUAUUUUUGCACAGGAAAUUGCUUCAUGGAGUCUUUUUAGAGAUUUAAGAAUUUCAGUGUUUUCAGGAUCAUAAUUGUGGCUAAGAUUUAUCAAGUAAUUACUGCUAAGUCUGUUGCUGUUUAUUUAAGAGUGCUUGAGUUGCCAGAGUAACCACUAAUUUUCAACUUAAGUACAUUUUGGGUGGAUUGUUUUCUGAGGUAAAAUAUUGGCUGUGCUAGUUACUGCCCCUGUGGAUGAAUAGAAUAGGAAUAAUAUGUUUUUAAUCAGGCCUAUGAUGUAUGAGCCACCCCCUGCUCAUUACAACCGUCUGGGAAGGAGGAAUUGGUUUUAUCCAGGCCCGGCAGACAAGGAAACUGGGUUCGGAGUACAUAACAAAGCUCUCCCAUUUCAUCAGCUACAGAAGGACAGUGAGAGCGAGUGCCACCCCUACCCCAAGUCCCUGUCAUUUCGCUGUCUUUUCCCAAUCCCUGUUGACUCUCAACCCAGUGUCUUCAUUACAGUUACACAUUUCAGUCAUGUCAUGUUGGACAGCACUUCAGAGAUGUCCCGUCUUCCAGUAAGGUAUAACCCUUCCCAGCAAAGGCCAUGCUUAAAUAGCCAACAGCCUUCAAAUGUGCAGGGAGUGGGAUUAGAGGGAUGGCUCUGUGGUUCAGCGUUCCGGAUGCUCUUGCAGAGGACCCAAGUUAAGAUCUCAGCAGGUACAUUGUAGCUGACAGUCGUCUGUAACUUCAGUUCCAAGAGAUCCAAUAUCUUUGUCUGGCCUCUGAGAGCACCUGACAUGCAUGCAGAACUUUUACAUAAAUGCAAACACAACGCUCAUACACAUAAAAGUAAAUAAAUCUUUAAAAAUCAUACGGGUAGCAAAUCCUGUGCGGAUUUAGAAACCCACACCUACAUAUGGAAUCAGCUAAAAUUGGAGCAGCUGGACAUAUCUGUAAGAGAUUUUCUUGAUUGGAUCCUUGGAGGUGGUUAAGACCCACUUUAAAUCUGGGCCACACCUUCUGGUGGCAGCCGACAGGAAAUGACACGGAAGGAGGAAGUGUCUGCUUUUUUGCCUGCUUGCCCUUACUCUCCCUGCCCAGUUUAUUUAUCCUGCUGUGAAAGGAUUCCUUCACUGAUAUUAGAACCUAGUUCUUUCAGGCUCCAAUGCAGCUAGAGACCAUCUGAGACAUCCAGCCUUGUGGACCAAACAACUACUGGGUUUUUGACUAACCAUUGUUUGACUAACUCAACCACAGACUGUAGGCUGUUACAGAGCAUUAGACUGCACCGUGAACCCCAAGAUUGUGUUGUUUACUGGAAAAAAAAUGGUUCCUAGUGUGGUGUGGCUUAGCCUUAGCACACAGCCUUGAAUUCUUCUGGCUAUAAUAGACACACACCUUUAAUCCCAAACAAGGAAAAGUAAAUUUAGUUCAUAGAAGGAAACUAUGUUUGAAAGUCUACCUGAGUGGCAGACAAAAUGAUGAACCAGAGAAAGAUUCGACAG
rnacentral:sRNA from 1 species